rnacentral:rRNA from 1 species
UACGAAGGGGGCGAGCGUUGUUCGGAAUUACUGGGCGUAAAGCGCACGUAGGCGGCUUUAUAAGUCGGGGGUGAAAGCCUGUGGCUCAACCACAGAAUUGCCUUCGAUACUGUAGAGCUUGAGACCGGAAGAGGUAAGUGGAACUGCGAGUGUAGAGGUGAAAUUCGUAGAUAUUCGCAAGAACACCAGUGGCGAAGGCGGCUUACUGGUCCGGUUCUGACGCUGAGGCGCGAAAGCGUGGGGAGCAAACAGG